rnacentral:rRNA from 1 species
UACGUAGGGGGCAAGCGUUGUUCGGGAUCACUGGGCUUAAAGGGCGCGUAGGCGGGUGCUCAAGUCCGGGGGGAAAUCCUCCAGCUCAACUGGAGAACUGCCUCGGAUACUGGGUGCCUCGAGGGUGGUAGGGGUAUGCGGAACUAUCGGUGGAGCGGUGAAAUGCGUUGAUAUCGAUAGGAACUCCGGUGGCGAAGGCGGCAUACUGGACCACUUCUGACGCUGAGGCGCGAAAGCCAGGGGAGCAAACGGG